AGGUCGAUGGCGUAGUUGGUUUUCGCAUCUGUCUAAAACACAAGAGGUCCUCAGUCCGAACCUGGGCCGACUCA